CAUCAGCUGCUGCCAUGUGAGGGCGCCUCUCCAGUACCCUCAGCUCUGGUCCUGCGCACUUUCCAAACCCCUCCUCUCUACUCCUUAUCUGGGGAUAGGCCUUUGUUAUCUAGGUCCCGCUAUUGCUAGGACUCCUCCAUCUUGUGGGCAAGUUAUCUGCUUCUUUAUGGCUUAAAAGCUUCCCACCCAUACCCAGAUACCUUCCCAGCUUUAACCUUGACAUCAGUGUCUGUAACAAAUGACUACAAACAUGGUACCUAACGCAAGAGAAAUUUAUUCCCUCACAGUUCUGGAUACCAAAUCAAGGUGUCAUGAGGCCAUAUUCCCUAUGACGGCUCUAGGGGAGAAUCCUUCCUGGCCUCUUCCAGCUUCUGGUGGCUC